GAUGAACGCUAGCUACAGGCUUAACACAUGCAAGUCGAGGGGAAACGGCAUUGAGUGCUUGCACUCUUUGGACGUCGACCGGCGCACGGGUGAGUAACGCGUAUCCAACCUUCCCAUUACUGUGGGAUAACCUGCCGAAAGGCAGACUAAUAUCGCAUAGUCUUCGAUGACGGCAUCAGAUUUGAAGUAAAGAUUUAUCGGUAAUGGAUGGGGAUGCGUCUGAUUAGCUUGUUGGCGGGGUAACGGCCCACCAAGGCGACGAUCAGUAGGGGUUCUGAGAGGAAGGUCCCCCACAUUGGAACUGAGACACGGUCCAAACUCCUACGGGAGGCAGCAGUGAGGAAUAUUGGUCAAUGGACGGAAGUCUGAACCAGCCAAGUAGCGUGCAGGAUGACGGCCCUAUGGGUUGUAAACUGCUUUUGUAUGGGGAUAAAGUUAGGGACGUGUCCCUAUUUGCAGGUACCAUACGAAUAAGGACCGGCUAAUUCCGUGCCAGCAGCCGCGGUAAUACGGAAGGUCCAGGCGUUAUCCGGAUUUAUUGGGUUUAAAGGGAGCGUAGGCUGGAGAUUAAGUGUGUUGUGAAAUGUAGACGCUCAACGUCUGAAUUGCAGCGCAUACUGGUUUCCUUGAGUACGCACAACGUUGGCGGAAUUCGUCGUGUAGCGGUGAAAUGCUUAGAUAUGACGAAGAACUCCGAUUGCGAAGGCAGCUGACGGGAGCGCAACUGACGCUUAAGCUCGAAGGUGCGGGUAUCAAACAGG
rnacentral:rRNA from 1 species